UACAGAGGUCUCAAGCGUUGUUCGGAUUCAUUGGGCGUAAAGCGCGUGUAGGCGGCUCGGUAAGUCCGCUCUGAAAGCCCGGGGGCUCAACCCCCGGGAGGCGGGUGGAUACUGCCGGGCUAGAGUCCGGAAGAGGCGAGUGGAAUUCCUGGUGUAGCGGUGAAAUGCGCAGAUAUCAGGAGGAACACCAAUUACGACGGC
rnacentral:rRNA from 1 species